UACAGAGGGGGCAAGCGUUAUUCGGAAUUAUUGGGCGUAAAGGGCGCGUAGGCGGCUUUUCAAGUGACGGGUGAAAGCCCUCGGCUUAACCGAGGAACUGCCUGUCAGACUGGAAGGCUUGAGACCGGGAGAGGUGAGUGGAAUUCCCAGUGUAGCGGUGAAAUGCGUAGAUAUUGGGAGGAACACCAGUGGCGAAGGCGGGUCUCUGGGCCGAUAUUGACGCUGAGGAGCGAAAGCGUGGGGAGCGAACAGG
rnacentral:rRNA from 1 species